AUUGAACGCUGGCGGCAGGCCUAACACAUGCAAGUCGAACGAGUGGCGGACGGGUGAGUAAUGUCUGGGAAACUGCCCGAUGGAGGGGGAUAACUACUGGAAACGGUAGCUAAUACCGCAUACCAUCGGAUGUGCCCAUAUGGGAUUAGCUUGUAGGUGAGGUAACGGCUCACCUAGGCGACGAUCCCUAGCUGGUCUGAGAGGAUGACCAGCAACACUGGAACUAGGACACGGUCCAGACUCCUACGGGAGGAAGGAGUGGGGAAGAUUGCACAAGGGGCGCAAGCCUGAUGCAGCCAUGCCGCGUGUAGGAAGAAGGCCUUCGGGUUGUAAAGUACUAUCAGCGGGGAGGCGUUACCCGCAGAAGAAGCACCGGCUAACUCCGUGCCAGCAGCCGCGGUAAUAC
rnacentral:rRNA from 1 species